GAUGAACGCUGGCGGCGUGCUUAACACAUGCAAGUCGAACGGAAAGGCCCCUUUGGGGGUACUCGAGUGGCGAACGGGUGAGUAACACGGGAGUAACCUGCCCUUGACUUCGGGAUAACUUCAGGAAACUGGGGCUAAUACCGGAUAGGAAUCCUUGCUGCAUGGUGGGGGUUGGAAAGCGUCGGCGGUUUUGGAUGGACUCGCGGCUUAUCAGCUUGUUGGUGGGGUAGUGGCUUACCAAGGCUUUGACGGGUAGCCGGCCUGAGAGGGCGAGCGGCCACCUUGGGACUGAGAUACAGCCCAGCCUCCUACGGGAGGCAGCAGUGGGGAAUAUUGCACACUGGGCGGACGCCUGAUGCAGCAACGCCGCGUGCGGGAUGACGGCCUUCGUGUUGUAAGCCGCUUUCAGCAGGGGCGAAGCUUGUGGUGACGGUACCUGCAGAAGAAGCGCCGGCUAACUACGUG
rnacentral:rRNA from 1 species